GCGCUACACUGAUGCAUUCAACAAGCCUAUCCCUAGCCGAAAGGCUCGGGUAAUCUUUGAAACUGCAUCGUGAUGGGGAUAGAUUAUUGCAAUUAUUAGUCUUCAACGAGGAAUGCCUAGUAAGCGCAAUUCAUCAGAUUGCGUUGAUUACGUCCCUGCCCUUUGUACACACCGCCCGUCGCUCCUACCGAUUGGGUGUGCUGGUGAAGUGUUCGGAUUGGCUGUUGAAGGUGGCAACACCGUCGAUUGCCGAGAAGUUCAUUAAACCCUCCCACCUAGAGGAAGGAGAAGUCGUAACAAGGUUUCCGUAGGUGAACCUGCGGAAGGAUCAUUGAAUAUGCAAACCACAACACGCACUCCCUAUUUGUGUACCGACGUUAGGUCAACACACGCAAGUGUGUGGCCUACUAACCUACACACCAUUGACCAACCAAUAAUCAAACCAAACUCUGAAGCUUUGGCUGCUGUUAAUCGGCAGUUUUAACAAAGAACAACUCUCAACAACGGAUAUCUUGGCUCUCGCAACGAUGAAGAACGCAGCGAAAUGCGAUACGUAGUGUGAAUUGCAGAAUUCCGUGAACCAUCGAAUCUUUGAACGCAUAUUGCGCUCGACCCCCCGGGGAAGAGCAUGUCUGCCUCAGCGUCGGUUUACACCCUCACCCCACUUACUUCACAGUAAGCGCUUGCUGCGUUGUAUGACCAGCAACUGGGAUGGAUCUGGCCCUCCCAAUUGAAGCAAUUCGUUUGGGUUGGCUGAAGCACAGAGGCUUAAACUGGGACCCGUACCGGGCUCAACUGGAUAGGUAGCAACACCUUCGGGUGCCUACACGAAGUUGUGUCUGAGGACCUGGUUAGGAGCCAAGCAGGAAACAUGGAAACAUGUACUCUGUAUUCGACCUGAGCUCAGGCAAGGCUACCCGCUGAACUUAAGCAUAUCACUAAGCGGAGGAAAAGAAACUAACAAGGAUGCGCUUAGUAACGGCGAGCGAACCGCGCAAAGCCCAACUUGAAAAUCUCCUUCGGAGAAUUGUAGUCUAUAGAAGUACCCUCUGCAACGGGCUGAGCUAAAGUCUCCUGGAAAGGGGCGUCAGAGAGGGUGAGAACCCCGUAAGCUCACGCUUAGUUGCCUCACGAGGUGCUUUCGAAGAGUCGGGUUGCUUGGGAAUGCAGCCCAAAUUUGGUGGUAAUCCC
rnacentral:sRNA from 1 species